rnacentral:misc_RNA from 1 species
CCAGGGGUCGUCGUUUCGAUCCCGACAGGCUCCACCAUUUGAGUGAAACGACUUUGGGUCUGUAGCUCAGGUGGUUAGAGCGCACCCCUGAUAAGGGUGAGCUCGGUGGUUCGAGUCCUCCCAGACCCACCACUCUGAAUGUAGUGCACACUUAAGAAUUUAUAUGGCUCAGCGUUGAGGCUGAGACAUGUUCUUUUAUAACUUGUGACGUAGCGAGCGUUUGAGAUAUCUAUCUAAACGUGUCGUUGAGGCUAAGGCGGGGACUUCGAGUCCCUAGAAAUUGAGUCGUAUGUUCGCGUUGGUGGCUUUGUACCCCACACAACACGGCGUAUGGCCCCGAGGCAACUUGGGGUUAUAUGGUCAAGCGAAUAAGCGCACACGGUGGAUGCCUAGGCGGUCAGAGGCGAUGAAGGACGUGGUAGCCUGCGAAAAGUGUCGGGGAGCUGGCAACAAGCUUUGAUCCGGCAAUGUCCGAAUGGGGAAACCCACUGCUUCGGCAGUAUCCUGCAGUGAAUGCAUAGCUGCUGGAAGCGAACCCGGUGAACUGAAAUAUCUAAGUAACCGGAGGAAAAGAAAUCAACCGAGAUUCCCUAAGUAGUGACGAGCGAACGGGGAGCAGCCCUUAAGCUGGAAUGGCUUUAGAAAAACAAUCUGGAA